rnacentral:rRNA from 1 species
UUUAUCUGGUUGAUCCUGCCAGUAGUCAUACGCUCGUCUCAAAGAUUAAGCCAUGCAUGUGUAAGUAUAAAUAAUUCUACUUUGAAACUGCGAAUGGCUCAUUAUAUCAGUUAUAGUUUAUUAGAAAAAAUGUACUACUUGGAUAACCGUAGUAAUUCUAGGGCUAAUACAUGAGUAAAUCCUCGACUUUGAAGAGGUGUGUUUAUUAGUAUGAAAACCAUAUGCUUCGGCAURAUAGUGAGUAAUAAUAACCUUUCAUAUCGUAUGUUGAAAUAACGAUAGUUCUUUCAAGUUUCUGCCCUAUCAGCUUUCGAUGGUAGUGCAUUGGACUACCAUGGCAGUAACGGGUAACGAAGAAUUUGGGUUCGAUUUCGGAGAGGGAGCCUGAGAGAUGGCUACCACAUCCAAGGAAGGCAGCAGGCGCGUAAAUUACCCAAUCCUGACAUAGGGAGGUAGUGACAAUAAAUCACAAUGCGGGACUUUUAGUKUUGCAAUUGGAUUGAGAACAAUGUAAAAGAGUUAUCGAUAAACAAUUGGAGGGCAAGUCUGGUGCCAGCAGCCGCGGUAAUUCCAGCUCCAAUAGCGUAUAUUAACGUUGUUGCAGUUAAAAAGCUCC